CCUCUCCUACGGGGCGCAGCAGUGAGGAAUAUUGGUCAAUGGGCUUACGCCUGAACCAGCCACGUCGCGUGAGGGAAGACUGCCCUAUGGGUUGUAAACCUCUUUUGUCAGGGAGCAACGCCGGCUACGUGUAGCCGGACUGAGAGUACCUGAAGAAAAAGCAUCGGCUAACUCCGUGCCAGCAGCCGCGGUAAUACGGAGGAUGCGAGCGUUAUCCGGAUUUAUUGGGUUUAAAGGGUGGGUAGGCGGAAUGCCAAG
rnacentral:rRNA from 1 species